rnacentral:rRNA from 1 species
CGCCCCUUCGGGGAGCGGGUCACUGGCCUCCUAUGUUCCUAACGGUCCUCAUCCGCGAGGGUGGGGAAUCAACCGCUAGGAUCGUUUACUUUGAGGAAAUUAGAGUGUUCAAAGCAGGCGUAACUCGCCUCCGAAUACGUUAGCAUGGGAUAAUGGAAUACGACUUCGGUCUUGUUUCGUUGGUUUCGCUUGGCUGAAGUAAUGAUUGAUAGGGACAGUUGGGGGCAUUAGUAUUUAGUUGUCAGAGGUGAAAUUCUAGGAUUUACUAAAGACUGACCAAUGCGAAAGCAUUUGCCAAGGAUGUUUUCAUUAAUCAAGAACGAAAGUAGGGGGAUCGAAGACGAUCAGAUACCGUCGUAGUCUCUACCGUAAACUAUGCCGACCAGGGAUCCGGAGAGUUUGCAUGGAUGACUCCCCGGGCACCUUGUGAGAAAUCAUAAGUGUUUGGGUUUUGGGGGGAGUAUGGUCGCAAGGCUGAAACUUAAAGGAAUUGACGGAAGGGCACCACCAGGAGUGGAACCUGCGGCUUAAUUUGACUCAACACGGGGAAACUUACGAGGUCAGGACACUGUGAGGAUUGACAGAUUGA